GAUGAACGCUGGCGGCGUGCUUAACACAUGCAAGUCGAACGGAAAGGCCCAAGCUUGCUUGGGUACUCGAGUGGCGAACGGGUGAGUAACACGUGGGUGAUCUGCCCUGCACUUCGGGAUAAGCCUGGGAAACUGGGUCUAAUACUGGAUAGGACCACUUCUUGGAUGUUGUGGUGGAAAGUUUUUUCGGUGUGGGAUGAGCUCGCGGCCUAUCGGCUUGUUGGUGGGGUAAUGGCCUACCAAGGCGUCGACGGGUAGCCGGCCUGAGAGGGUGUACGGCCACAUUGGGACUGAGAUGCGGCCCAGACUCCUACUGGAGGCAGCAGUGGGGAAUAUUGCACAAUGGGCGCAAGGCUGAUGCAGCGGGGCCGCGUGGGGGAUGACGGCCUUCGGGUUGUAAACUCCUUUCGCUAGGGACGAAGCGUUUUGUGACGGUACCUGGAGAAGAAGCACCGGCUAACUACGUG
rnacentral:rRNA from 1 species